rnacentral:lncRNA from 1 species
UUCUUUUUCAUGUAAUUCAAUUUGCAAAUCUUUAAUCAAUUGGCCAUAAUCAAAUUCAAAAUAUGAGGAAAAAAAAAAUAUGUAUGAACUCUGUCAUUAGCAUUUUCAUUAUCAUUUCUACGACCUCCUCCUCCGGAAUGUCUUUCAGGGACAGAAGCUUCCCUUGAUAAAUAUCUCUUCUUACGUCAAAACCAACACCCUC